rnacentral:rRNA from 1 species
CAGCUAAUUGCGCGUCAACUUGUGAACUGCAGGACACAUGAACAUCGACAUUUCGAACGCACAUUGCGGUCCACGGAUACAAUUCCCGGACCACGCCUGGCUGAGGGUCGUU